rnacentral:rRNA from 1 species
UACAUGGGGUGCAAACGUUGCUCGGAAUCAUUGGGCGUAAAGCGCACGUAGGCGGUCUGUUAUGUCGGAUGUGAAAGCCCUUGGCUCAACUGAGGAAGUGCAUCUGGAACUGGCAGGCUAGAGUACUAAAGAGGAUCGCGGAAUUCCCGGUGUAGAGGUGAAAUUCGUAGAUAUCGGGAGGAACACCGGUGGCGAAGGCGGCGAUCUGGGUAGAUACUGACGCUGAGGUGCGAAAGCGUGGGGAGCAAACAGG